rnacentral:lncRNA from 1 species
CUGCGGCUGCCGGAGAGGCUUGCGCAUAUCGUACGCGUCCUCCCCAUCGGCGUAGUACUUGGCCUCGAUGUCGUGGAUCUGGUACCCGAGGGUGGAGGUGUAGAGGUUGAAGGCGGCGCGGUUGGAUCGGCGGACGUGGAGGGAGACGUACUCGGCACCGAAGACCUGGUCCAUGGCGGCCUGCGCGGCGGACAUGAGCUUGGUGGCGAGACCGAGCUUGCGGUGAGAGCGGAGGACCGCCAGGGAGGUGAUGUGGCCGUGGCAGGGCUCGGAGGGGUCCUCCUCCAUCUUGGCGAGCACGUAGCCCACGAUGCGGCCGCCGUAGUCCUCGGCGACGAAGAGGAGCUGCGGCCACGACAGCAUGUGGUAGAGGUAGUACUUCAUCUGGUAGUUCUCCGGCAGGCACAUCAGGUUGCACGCCUGCAUCGCCAGCAGGUCGUCGAUGGUCGCCUGCCGGAUGCACACCAUCUUGACCUCCGCCUAAUGCUAACCUCUACUCUCUCCGAUGCGGUGGAUUCGGUGGCUCUCCGGCGAUAGGUCUCGGUGAUGGUGAUGCCGAUGACGGCGGCCGCCUGGCCUCUAUUAAUAUAGGGAGGCUCGGAGAAUUCUUGACCUAACCCUAGAGGGGAAACGGGCCGAAAUAGGCCUGGUGGGCCGAAUGAUUUGUUGCUUACGAACUUUAGUCGUGUUGGGCCCGGCCUAUAAGCAACAACUUCAUGAAAGCCAGGAGCAUCUCCAAUCUUCCCUAAAGAACAAAAAAAAAAGUAUAUAUAAAAACAUUCGAAUAGUUUGAGUGCAACAAACAACAGAUCGAGACAUUAGAAAGGUUGAACCGCAAUUAACAUGUUUCUCGAGACUGCAUGUGACACGAUUACAGAUUUGUGCAUACGAACUGAGAGCAUCUCUAAAAGUUUGAAAACAAAUCAUCAUUUGGAGAGUUAUUGGAAUAAAAAUCAUUCUUUAUAUCUUUUUACCUUCUAACAGUUUUUCUAUAUCUUAUAUGCACUCAAGAAAAUCAAUCCCACUCUUCACUUUGGCUAGCAAGAAAUCUGGAAUAAAUGAUAGCAAUAUUUGGAGCCAAUGGAUGACAUCUUUCUAUUUUUUUAUCAAUAAUAAAGAUAUAAAGAGGGUUUUAGAGUUGCUCUGAGCGGAGAGCAAAAAUUAUAAAAAUAUGAAUGCAUAAAGUUACGCCUGCCCCUCUCUCGGAGUUUGCGUUGAAUCAUGUCGUAACUCUGAGUAGUUAUUAAGAAAGCUGCCGUCACACUAAUUUUAAACUGAAAAUGUAGUUACACCUCUCAAGGCUUCCUCUAAUUUCUGGAAGGACUCAUCUAAGAGACAAGAUUUACAGAUAAUAACACGCUUGUACACUUACUAGUGGCAAAUUCUAGCACCAGUUUCUUCUUGGAGCAGUUUAUUAUCAUUAGGUUGAUGAAUCUGAAACAAUUUUUGCAGCGCCAAAAGGUGGACUACUACCGAAGCAGCAUGUGAAGAUGAUGAAGAGCUAUAUCCAUCAGCAGGGCAUUAUUUUAACACCCGGUAGACCAACGCACGAUUCAAUAUCGAUGGAGGAACUCGAUGGGGUGUUGUCUUUGAAUGUUUGAUCAGAACUAGUUCUUCGUGGGACGGAUGAGCCUUUUUUACGAGAAACAAAUAUAUUAAUAUUAUUAACAGCAAGAAGUUGCAAAGAUGUUUACAUCAAUGGCACAGUGCAUGAAGGAGCGGUGACUCUCUAAUUCUAAAGUAGAGGAGGCAAAAGCCUGUCUAGCUAGGGUAUCUGCUGUAGUGUUAAUUUGCCUGUUGAUUUUGGUGAUUGUUGAAGAUGUUCCUGCAGCAUUGUUGGAGAAGUCCUGAGUAUAAGGCUUGCUUCUCCAAUCAGGAGGGUUGGAGAGGUCAUCCCUGUUUAAGAAGUGCACUUGUUGCUGACAAUCCGAGAGGAAGUUGCAAUUGUGAAUAUUCAUGGCCUGUAUUAUAUUCUGCUGUAUAAAAUCACUAAUCAAAUGAACUGUGAGAACCAGCUUGGAGCACAUGUUUUUACAAACACAAUACCAAUGUCAAGAUAUUGCCAAGUAUAUUUGCUUGCCAUUCCCACUGACUACAAUCUUUGAUCUUCCGGGGAGAGGAAAUUAAGAUGCUUAUAGAAAGUCCAAUGGGCUUGUUGACUCCUCUCUGUAGAUAUGAGUCUGCAAUAUUCAGAAGCUAGUUAAGUACCAAAUUUGAAUUUCAGCUUCAAUAUUUAAAUUGCACAAUGCAGAUCAAGAAUGUCAAAAAACAGAAUCACCUUGCUUUCAUGAAACUUAAAAAAAUGGAACUAAAAGAGAGAAAUAAAACAUAAAGAGCUGAACAUAACAUAGGCAAAUAUUUAAACCAAAACUACAGUGCACAAAAAAAAACUCCUCAGAAAACGCCCAUAAAUUUCAUUUGAAUGUAGGACUCCAACUAGGUUCUCCCUGGCAAGCAGGGACUUGGAGCUUUCUACACCUCACACAUUAGGCAAUUACCAUAAGCAAGAAAAGUUUAAGCACAUUUCUCCAUCCAUGUUGUGCCAAAUAAAAUAAACAUGGACAAUUUCAUUCAAGAACAAUACCCACCAUGAAAAAAAAACACAUAAUGUUGUUAAAUGUUUUGUUCAUAAAGCUCAGUAAAGCCCGUAUAUCUCAUUCCAAUGUAGGACUCCAAGUAGGUUCUCCCUGAAAUUCAGGGACUUGACUCAUCUACAUAUAAUUCAAAGGGCGAUUCGUCAUUACCUAGGAAAAUAUUUUCAUAUCAAUAUUACAGACUUGGCAAAACAACAAAGGGAUUUGAAAGCUGAUGCUAAUCAACUCUUCAUAACAAUAAGUCAAUAAUCAUCGAAUAUUAAAUAAGCUAAGGACAAGCAACUGCAGUGCUAGUUGAUUUAGUGAGAGAUUUUAGAAGCAAUACCACAACAAGAGAUACAAUUUUGAUAUAAAGUUUGUCUUCAUCCGAAUUUAUAUGAAAAAGUUAUAAAUUAUUUUUUGUUUAUAACUAUUAACCGAGACGGACAUUUUAACAUAACCACCACGGUUAAUGAGCUAUUAACCGUGACAAACAUUAUAAGCAACGUAUUAACCGUGGCGGUUACCUUACAAUGCCCGCCACGGUUAAUUAUUAACCGUGGUGGGCUCUCGCCAAGAAAAAACAUGUGGCUACACGAGCUCGAACCGUGGCCAUCCAGCCUCUCGCGCAUUGUCUUUGUCAAUCCAGCUAAAAAAUUUAUUGUCUAUGUUGCAUCCACAAUUCUAUCUAAUAGGGAUAAAGAUAAAAAAUAAUCCCUAAUAAAUUACUUUUUAGUUCUAAACGUUCAGGUAGUUUGGGUAUGGAGAGAGUAAUUAACAUCCAGAGCUCGCAAUGAAAAGCUUACUCUCCGUCAAGUGUGAGCCUUCUUAUCCGGCAAACUAGAAGGCUGAGGAGAAGAACCAGUCGCCGCCGCAGGUGCGUCGUGGGAGCAGCACCCACCGGGGCCGCGUGGUGGUGAUGGUGGUGCUUCUUCGGCUGCGGCUGCCGGAGAGGCUUGCGCAUGCCGAACGCGUUCUCCCCGUCGGCGUAGUACUGGGCCUCGAUGCCGUGGAUCUGGUACCCGACAGUGGAGGUGUAGAGGUUGACGGCGGCGCGGUUGGAUUGGCGGACGUGGAGAGAGACAUACUCGGCGUCAAAGACCUGCUCCAUGGCAGCCUGCGCUGCGGACAUGAGCUUGGUGGCGAGCCCGAGCUUGCGGUGGGAGCGGAGGACCGCGAGGGAGGUGAUGUGGCCGUGGCAGGGCUGGGAGAGGUCCUCCUCCAUCUUGGCGAGCACGUAGCCGACGAUGCGGGCAUGCGGCCGCCGUAGUCCUCGGCGACGAAGAGGAGCUGCGGGCACGACAGCAUGUGGUAGAG